GACGAACGCUGGCGGCGUGCCUAAUGCAUGCAAGUCGCACGGGCUGCCCUCGGGCAGCCAGUGGCGCACGGCUGAGUAGCACGUGGGAAUUUCCCGCUCGGUGGGGGACAACAGAACGAAAGUCCUGCUAAUCCCGCAUACCCUCCUCGGAGGAAAGCCCGAAAGGGCGCCGAACGGCAAGCCCGCGGCCCAUCAGGUUGUUGGCGGGGUAACGGCCCACCAAGCCCGUGACGGGUAGCUGGUCUGUGAGGACGACCAGCCAGACUGGGACUGCGACACGGCCCAGACUCCUACGGGAGGCAGCAGCAAGGAAUUUUCGGCAAUGGGCGCAAGCCUGACCGAGCAACGCCGCGUGCGGGAUGACGGCCUUCGGGUUGUAAACCGCUUUUGGGGGGGAGGACAUCGACAGUACCCCCCGAAUCAGCCCCGGCUCACUCUGUGCCAGCAGCCGCAGUAACAC
rnacentral:rRNA from 1 species